rnacentral:misc_RNA from 1 species
AGCGGCCAUUGCGCGGGUCGAACCGCACGCUGGUCGCGCGCAUGUCGCCGGUAUGCGCGGCGUCGAGCUGCAAUUCGCGCAGGUCGCGCUCGAAGGUGACGGAGAUGUUGGCGGCGUCGCCGAAGCCGUUGCGCCGUUCAAGCACGCGAGCGAUCUGCUGUUCGAUCUCUUUCGAAAUGAGCGUACGCGAGGAGCGGGUGAUCGACACUUCGCGGAGGUCGCGGGUGUCGACGCCGAUCACCUGAUGCGCGCGCAGCACGUUAAGAAGCUGCGCGG